UGGGGAAUAUUGCACAAUGGGCGCAAGCCUGAUGCAGCCAUGCCGCGUGUAUGAAGAAGGCCUUCGGGUUUUAAAGUACUUUCAGCGGGGAGGAAGGGAGUAAAGUUAAUACCUUUGCUCAUUGACGUUACCCGCAGAAGAAGCACCGGCUAACUCCGUGCCAGCAGCCGCGGUAAUACGGAGGGUGCAAGCGUUAAUCGGAAUUACUGGGCGUAAAGCGCACGCAGGCGGUUUGUUAAGUCAGAUGUGAAAUCCCCGGGCUCAACCUGGGAACUGCAUCUGAUACUGGCAAGCUUGAGUCUCGUAGAGGGGGGUAGAAUUCCAGGUGUAGCGGUGAAAUGCGUAGAGCUCUGGAGGAAUACCGGUGGAGAAGGCGGCCCCCUGGACGAAGACUGACGCUCAGGUGCGAAAGAGUGGGGAGCAAACAGG
rnacentral:rRNA from 1 species